rnacentral:lncRNA from 1 species
UUGUUCCUUAUGGCACCAUGUAAACCACCAGCAAAGAAAGCAAGAGUUGAUCGUCUUGAUGGCGAUGGACCUCCAAUGAUUCCUAUUGUAUCAUCCGUCUUGAGAUUGAUUUCAGGUAAUGAUACAUCUUUCUGAGGAUUAAAUCCUUCUGUAGUAUUCGCAUUGCAUAGAACUCUUAUUGAAUUGUUGAAGAGAUGUGGCACGUAUGAAGUCGUGUGUGGCCCCUAAAAAACAAACAUUUUGAUCUCAAAGGUAGAUAUCACAUAAGAAGGAUUUAACUUAUACAUACUGACAAUGUAAAGAAUGUUUACUCGCAUAUUCUAAACAGUUUCAUGUAGUUAUCUUUUAGAUGACUUGAAGUUAAACUCGAUUACAUUUUGCUUACCCAAUCAUGGCAGGAGAGCAUGAAGUGAUCAGCACCAAGACUUGUAUUCCAGAAGGAAUGUCUUGAAGAAAUGACAUGAAUAUAAUCAGCAACUGUUCUACCAAUGACAUGCCUGCUGUCAG